GGAGCUGCGGGCAGCCUGGCUCCAACUUUACCCGUCUGGACCUUGAGGCUGAGACGGACGAGGGGACGCGGGGUCCCGGGAAAUGAGAGGGGCGUAGCCUCCGGCCUCUCCUGGGCGGACACCCCAAUGGCGGGAAGCACCGCGGCGGCCGAGCCACGCGGGUUGAGCGUGCUGUGCGAGCCCCAGGCUGAGCCUGAGCAGCCCGCGGCCCUCCCACCGCCACCGCCGCCGCCACCACCGCCACCGCCCUCUCCAAAUGACUCCAAGGUGUCCCGAGUGCCAGGGCAACCCCGGGACCCCCCAGCCGGACCGAUCGGAUCGAGGGGGCGGGCCCGAGGCUUUGGUUCCUUGGAGGAAGAAGCUGCGUUUCAGACAGUUUACUACUAUUGUCAUUGACCAAGAAGAAGGGCUGACCUCGAUGAAGCAAAUGGGCCCACUAACUGGUAAAAUCUGUGCCCUGCAUCGCACUUCUGGGGAACAUUUAAUCCUCAACUACACAGAGAAGAUUUCUGUCGUUGACUAAUUGGCACAGACGAGACAGGAGGACUGAGGAUUAGAGUUGCAAAGCAGCAUCCCCAAAGUCACUUCGCUGGUUUUUCUCUACUUAGCCCCGAUUCUUUUCUCCUUUUAAAAAUAUUUAUUGUACAUGGCACUGUGUUACAUUAGGACAUCUUGAUACAAGUUUAUGUUGUAUUUUGAAUAUAUAUUCCUACUCCUAAAUUUUCUGUCUUCUCCCUGUCUCUCCCAUUAGUUCCCUAGUAAUUUUACUUCAUUUUCCAUGUCAUAUGAUUUAUGUGUUUAAUUAAACCUAGGAAUCAUAAAUGAAUUUUUUUCCUUC